GUAGAAUUGCUAUAAAAGAGUACUGUAUCUAACAUCAAUCAAUCAAUGAUGGGAUUGUUGUUCUGCCCGAGCCUUGUACUGGCCUUGAUGGCGAGCGUCUUUCUCAGUCAAAAUCAGCUGAGUCAAACUUACGAAUGCGAGCCUGACAGUUGCUAUAAUAAUGGGACGUGCGAAGAAAAAGUUGAUGAUCCGUCUGGCUUCCAGUGCAGUUGUCCCAGUGACUUUUUCGGAGAAAGAUGCGACUUGACUGAGUGCCGGUUAAAUAAAUGCUGGAAUGGUGCAACGUGUGCAUUGAAUACUACAAAUUUGGUUUCGUCGUGCAUUUGUCCCGAGGGUUAUUACGGAACAUGGUGCA